CACACACAGACACACACACACACACACACACUCUUACUUACUAACCUGCACUCUGUCUGUCUCUCUGUAUUCAUCUCUCUCUGUCUCUCCCUCAGAAGAACACACACACACACACACACACACACACACACAGAGCAUUAGAAGAUGUCAGACUCAGAGACCACUGUUCCUGCUGAGAGCCGCGUCCCAGCCGCCUGCAAGACCAUCAAGUCAGAUCUGGAUAAAUGUAUAAAGGAGAAAGGAGAAUCAGCGUGUAAGGAGCUGAUGGAGGCGUUCGCUGCCUGUGUAAAGAGCAACACUACAGCAUCAUGAGAAGCUCCGACACACAGGACAGGUCCUCCACAUUCCCAGCUUUCCCAGCAUUCCCAGCAUUCCCAGCUUUCCCAGCAGCACUGGACUCAAUGUCUCGGGUGGGAUUUGGCAACAGAAACCCGCUACACCUCUUCUCUUACCCUUAUCUCCCCUCUGUAAUGUUCAGAUGGUAUGUUCCUGCCCUCCGUCUCCCUCGAGGCCAGAUGAUCUGAUCUUAUCUGAUCUUAUCUGAUCUUAUCUGAUGUGAUCUGAUGUGAUCUGAUGUGGAGACAGUUCAGGGAGCUCGUGGCUUUUUAAUAUAAAUUGUUUGUUUGAGAUUCUUCCAUAAUGAUGAAAUAAAGUUUAAAACAUCAGUA